CGGACGACGCUGGCGGCGUGCUUAAAACAUGCAAGUCGAACGGACUUCUCAUGAAGCUUGCGAUUGAGAAGUUAGUGGCGGACGGGUGAGUAGCGCGUGGGCAACCUGCCCCUGAGCCCGGGAUAACAGUUCGAAAGGACUGCUAAGACCGGAUAUACUUGCGGGGAAGCAUUUCACUGCAAGGAAAGGGAACGCUCAGGGAUGGGCCCGCGUCCCAUUAGCUAGUUGGUGAGGUAACGGCCCACCAAGGCGACGAUGGGUAGCCGGCCUGAGAGGGUGAACGGCCACACUGGGACUGAGACACGGCCCAGACUCCUACGGGAGGCAGCAGUUGGGAAUCUUCGGCAAUGGGCGCAAGCCUGACCGAGCAACGCCGCGUGAGUGAUGAAGGUUUUCGGAUUGUAAAGCUCUGUCUUCCGGGACGAUAAUGACGGUACCGGAGGAGGAAGCCACGGCUAACUACGUG
rnacentral:rRNA from 1 species